rnacentral:rRNA from 1 species
GACGAACGCUGGCGGCGUGCUUAACACAUGCAAGUCGAACGGAAAGGCCCUGCUUUUGUGGGGUGCUCGAGUGGCGAACGGGUGAGUAACACGUGAGUAACCUGCCCUUGACUUUGGGAUAACUUCAGGAAACUGGGGCUAAUACCGGAUAGGAGCUCCUGCUGCAUGGUGGGGGGUGGAAAGUUUCGGCGGUUGGGGAUGGACUCGCGGCUUAUCAGCUUGUUGGCGGGGUAGUGGCUUACCAAGGCUUUGACGGGUAGCCGGCCUGAGAGGGUGACCGGCCACAUUGGGACUGAGAUACGGCCCAGAAUCCUACGGGAGGCAGCAGUGGGGAAUAUUGCACAAUGGGCGGAAGCCUGAUGCAGCAACGCCGCGUGCGGGAUGACGGCCUUCGGGUUGUAAACCGCUUUCGCCUGUGACGAAGCGUGAGUGACGGUAAUGGGUAAAGAAGCACCGGCUAACUACGUG